GUGAGGAAUUUUCCGCAAUGGGCGAAAGCCUGACGGAGCAAUGCCGCGUGAAGGAUGAAGGCCUAUGGGUUGUAAACUUCUUUUCUCAGAAAAGAAUUAUGACGGUAUCUGAGGAAUAAGCAUCGGCUAACUCUGUGCCAGCAGCCGCGGUAAGAAAGAGGAUGCAAGCGUUAUCCGGAAUGAUUGGGCGUAAAGCGUCUGUAGGUUGUUUAAAAAGUAUUCUGUCAAAGAUUAGGGCUUAACCCUAGAUAGGCAGAAUAAACUUUUAAGCUAGAGUUUGGUAGAGGCAGAGGGAAUUCCCGUUGGAGCGGUGAAAUGCGUAGAUAUCAGGAGGAACACCAAAGGCGAAGGCACUCUGCUGGGCCAAUACUAACACUGAGAGACGAAAGCGAGGGGAGCAAAUGGGAUUAGAAACCCUGGUAGUCC
rnacentral:rRNA from 1 species